rnacentral:misc_RNA from 1 species
AGAGAGAGAGAGAGGAAGGGAGGAGGGAGGCACAAAGAAAUGGGGGAAAAAGAAAAGAAGAUGAAGAAAGCUGGAUCAAACAUAGAGCAGCGCUACAUGGCAAAACUUUCGCAGUGUUGUAAACAAGUAUUUGGAAGCUCAUAGUUAUGAGAAAAAUGCAAGUGUUUCAACUUCAUUUUUUUUUUACUCUCCUCAAGUAUGUGAUGUAGAAAAAAAUAAGGUAUUGGGGGAUUUAAGGUGAGAAACAAAUUCUUAAAUUGAAGAGAAACUAAUUCUCA